rnacentral:rRNA from 1 species
UACAUGGGGUGCAAACGUUGCUCGGAAUUAUUGGGCGUAAAGCGCACGUAGGCGGUUUGUUAAGUCGGAUGUGAAAUCCCUCGGCUCAACUGAGGAAGUGCAUCCGAAACUGGCAAGCUUGAGUACGAAAGAGGGUCGCGGAAUUCCCAGUGUAGAGGUGAAAUUCGUAGAUAUCGGGAGGAACACCGGUGGCGAAGGCGGCGACCUGGGUCGAUACUGACGGUGAGGUGCGAAAGCGUGGGGAGCAAACAGG